rnacentral:rRNA from 1 species
AAUCAUAAUGGCCGAAAAUCUAAGGUUUCCUGGGGAAGGUUCGUCCGCCCAGGGUAAGCCGGGAGCUAAGGCGAGGCCGCAAGGCGUAGUCGAUGCACAUACGGUAGAAAUUCCGUAGCCGGUACAAUUGUUAAUCACGGUGACACAUGAGUGUAGCUCUACCGGGCGUUGGUAGCCCCGGGCGUAAGCGAGCCGAAUGAGGCGAAGUGAGUAAAGCUUGUGGCGAGAAAAGCCGUGAGGAUUGGUUGUACUGCCCGUACCGCAAACCGACACAGGUAGAUGAGGAGAAGAUCCUAAGGCCAACGGGAGAAGGGUUGUUAAGGAACUAGGCAAAUUGACCCCGUAACUUCGGAAUAAGGGGUGCCUACGAAAGUAGGUCGCAGAGAAUAGGCCCAAGCAACUGUUUACCAAAAACACAGGUCUCUGCUAAAUCGAAAGAUGACGUAUAGGGGCUGACGCCUGCCCGGUGCUGGAAGGUUAAGAGGAGAGCUUAGGGAAACCGAAGGUUCGAAUUGAAGCCCCAGUAAACGGCGGCCGUAACUAUAACGGUCCUAAGGUAGCGAAAUUCCUUGUCAGGUAAGUUCUGACCCGCACGAAAGGCGUAAUGAUUUGGGCACUGUCUCAACAGCCCGCCCGGCGAAAUUGUAGUACCGGUGAAGAUGCCGGUUACCCGCAACUAGACGGAAAGACCCCAUGGAGCUUUACUGCAGCUUAAUACUGAGAUUCGGUAAAUCAUGUACAGGAUAGGUGGGAGACUGAGAAGUAUAGCCGUCAGGUUAUAUGGAGUCGGUGUUGGGAUACCACCCUUGGUUUGCUGGAUUUCUAACCUGCUGCCCUGAAUCGGGUAGGGGGACACUGUUAGGCGGGCAGUUUGACUGGGGCGGUCGCCUCCUAAAAUGUAACGGAGGCGCUCAAAGGUUGGCUCAGCAUGGAUGGAAACCAUGCAAUGAGUGUAAACGUAUAAGCCAGCCUGACUGCGAGACCGACGGGUCGAGCAGAGACGAAAGUCGGAGUUAGUGAUCCGGUGGUAUGUGAGUGGAAAUGCCAUCGCUCAACGGAUAAAAGCUACCCUGGGGAUAACAGGCUGAUCUCCCCCAAGCGUCCACAGCGACGGGGAGGUUUGGCACCUCGAUGUCGGCUCGUCGCAUCCUGGGGCUGAAUUAGGUCCCAAGGGUUUGGCUGUUCGCCAAUUAAAGCGGCACGCGAGCUGGGUUCAGAACGUCGUGAGACAGUUCGGUCCCUAUCUGUUGCGGGCGUAGGAGAUUUGAAGGGAGCUGUCCUUAGUACGAGAGGACCGGGAUGGACAUACCUCUGGUGUACCAGUUGUCCUGCCAAGGGCACGGCUGGGUAGCUACGUAUGGACGAGAUAAACGCUGAAGGCAUCUAAGCGUGAAACUCCCCCUGAGAUAAGAUCUCCACUGAGGCUCGACGUAGACUAUGUCGUAGAUAGGUCAGAGGUGGAAGUGCAGUAAUGCAUGGAGCUGACUGAUACUAAUAAGCCGAAAGCUUGACCA